UUAAUUAUUAUUUUUAUUACAGCAAAUAGCAUUUAGUCAUGCACAACAAUUCUUCUCCAAACCUCCCUAUAUUUUAUAGACCCUUGUCUCAUUUCCUUGACACAAAGUAAAUGCCAACUAAUGGCCAGCCAAGCAAAUUACACUUGUCCCUAGUACAGCCCACAAGAGGCACAAGUGGAGGCAUGCAUGCAAGACUAACCACACAUGCGUGCCAGAUGUAAUGCCUCUCCUAACCGACAUAGCUAUUCACCCCACUAUAAAUAGGAGCCAUCCCUUUCACUGUGGCCACACACAAUCAUCCGCUGGAGAAACCCCUCUGCCUUUUCACCUUCUGCCACACUGCUAUCUUCCCCUGCUGUGAAGCUCUUUGGGUUGCAUGCGCCACCAGGUACUAAUCAAGUACCUUGUUGUGUUAGCCAUUCUUGCUUGAUUUCUUAUAUAUCUCCACCUCCGUUUGAAUCAGUCCAUAAGCAUCUAUUCACCUUGAUCUAUUUACCUUGCAGUAAAAAGAACAAAAUAUUUGCGUAAACACCCAAGUUAGUCAAAACUAAUUAGAUCAAUUGCAAAAGCUUGUAAAAGUUUCCGUGAAUGACAUCCGUGGCUUGUACUAGAUCUAACAUGCCAAGAAUCAAAUCCUAGGUACUAGUAACUUGCUAAGACAUGUAUGUAUGUAUCCAAAAGAUCAACCUUCCUGUGUAUACUACCUUGUCCUAUUUAUUAAUCCCUGCCAAUCUAUAGCAAACACUGAGAGAUUGAUGUUUAUAAUCUACUCACAAGUAAUUUUUUUUGGAGUUUCACUGCCACUGUUUACUUCUAUAUGGUGUUCAAGGAUGAGUAGCACUAGUUAGGAACAUCAUUUAGAUCUAAUCAGUAGCAAUACCAUGACCACACCAUAGAUUAAAUCUUGAUUAAUUUCGUGGCCUUGAGAUAAACAAAGAAAAAGAAGGCAAUAUGGCUGAGAGGGGAAUAGUAGGGCCUGAGAUAAAAUGAACAAUAUAUGCACAUCCACAUUCAUAUAUACGAGGCACUUGUUGUGAAAUUUGAAGCACUUCAUGGAGAAGGAAUCAGGAUUAGUACUUACUAGUAGUAGCAGUAGGAUGUGGCUACUCCACACCGUUAGCAGCAAAGCCAUGGCAACCGAGCAGCGCCGGUGAAGCCGCACAGGCCCGACUCCUGUGGCUGCAUGCCUUAUGCGUGUGGCUGCGCUGGGGGGAGGAUGUAGGCAUGGAGACGUCGUUGCCGCUGCAGCCGGUGGCAAGCCCACCGGACCUGGAUCAGGCGGCGCUAGGAUUGAGUGGUGGCGACGUUUUUGGCGGCGGCGGAUCAAAUAAAUAGGGGGAAAUGGUAGAGGGAGACGAGGGGAAUCUGUAGGUGUCCGCCAUGUCACCGGAGAUGCCCGGACGGGGCAGAUCGAGGCGACGGCGACCGUGCUCUGUUCUUGGGGGAGAGAGAGAGAGGUGAGAGGGAUGGUUCUGUUCGUGGGACAUCAGAGAAGUUGAGUAGUCUUUCUAGAUAAACACAGGCUGGGGCUUAACCAGCGAAGUACAAGUAGUACAAUACCAGGCUACUGUUUCCUUUUACUUAUCAUUUCUUUUAUCACUCUCUGGACUGGAUGACAUACGUGCAUGCUACUCUGAUUUGGAUGGCUUAGAUGCAUUUUAUAUCUCAAUGAAACACUAGGACGUAUCAGUACCUAGUUAAUUAAUUAUGGCUUGCCCAACAUGGCCGUGUUGCUGGAUGUUUCGAUUUUAAUUAGGCAUUAUAAACAUGUUUGUGAAAUAAUUAUCAAGAGUCGAUCUCGGACUCAUAGGAGUCGCAUCUGGUGGUUCCGAGUUGGUCGAAGCACUACCCGGCAAGUCGUCAUCUCCUUGACCAUGUCUUGAUAAAUUUUUUCCGGGCUAUGGGUCAUUUCUAAAAUUUUGCAUAAGAAUUAAAAAUAAAUAUUUUUCAUAAAUGAAAUGAGAUUUGCAUCAGGUGGAUCCACUAAUUUGGCAAUUGGACCAGAUCAGGUGAAGUAUCUGUAUUGAGUAGUUGUGACCCGGGCAGGGCUACAUUAUAAAUAAAUAUUUGGUGGGUAGGGGAGCUUAUGUUGGUGAAGGCAACCCGGGUAGGGUUGGCUUGGAUGGCGGGCUCCUCUACAUAGGGUAUCACAUUAGGACACAACCAACUGGCGCUUACUUCAAAAGCGGCGCAAAUCGUACUGACCAUAGACCUGGAAUGGGACGGGCUGAACCGACUACCCAUGCCAAGUAGCUGCCUCUGCAUGGGUGAGAAGGUGGCUGUAGCCGGGUAGGUACAGUCACCCUAGGGUGGGACCGCCGGUCAGGGGUCUCGACCCGCGGGCCUUUAGUAAGGCAAGGUGGAAAAGCAGAGGUAGUGUACGGGCUGGUUAAAGGUUCUGGUUCCUUGGUCUAGUCGUGCGCACGGGUAGCGCAUGGACGACUUGUACCAAGUGAUGCUAUGGGCAAAGCAGUACACCUCUGAUCAGAGUAAAUGUAAUAUCACUCCCAGCUUCCGGGAUUGGAAGUGCGUCGUGUGGGUUUUCCUCUAACACGGGAUGUAAGAUCCCACGUCGCUCUGUCGCCAGUAUAUUUUAUGAAUAAAAUUUGGUUUUCAACAAAAUUGGUUAAGGGAAAAUAUUUUUACCUACAUAGUAUUUUGAGAUAAUGGCUCGGUGGUGGUAGCUGUGACCGAUAAAGUUUUUCCUCUUUAAAAACUCAUGCAUCCACUUUUCCCGGUGACUUGCAGAGUACGUAUUUUAUACGUACUCAACUGCACUUAUGUUGUUUCUCAGAGCAAGAGAGUUGUGAGAACUCUGAGGCGAUAGAGAAUGGUACUUAUGAUGAGUCUGGUCAUCUUAAUGACUUCGGUUAUUAUGAAGUGGAGUAUGACUAUGAGGAAGUCGACAAUCAAGGCUAUGAAGAGUAGAUGCCCUCCAUGGUUGGUCUAAAAGGCUCAUACUAGAAGCGGGUGAUGAUCUAUCAUCAUGGCCGCAUAGGCUUAGUCGACACUUGAGGUGUCCAUGAAAUAAAAGCUUGCCUACUCAUGGCAGCUGCUCCGUCUUGUACAUGACACUGUUCUACUUAACUGAUCCUAGCGCAACUCUAAAGUGACGGCUUCCGUUACGCCUGACUCUGUUGGACGUAACGGGGCGUCACAAGAGUAUUCAACCCAAAUUUAUUGAUUCAACACAAGGGGAGCCAAAGAAUAUUCUCAAGUAUUAGCAGCUGAGUUGUCAAUUCAACCACACCUGGAAACUUAAUAUCUGCAACAAAGUAUUUAGUAGCAAAGUAAUAUGAUAAUGGUGGUAGCGGCAACAAAAGUAAAGACAGCAAAGGUAAUGUUUUUGGUAUUUUGUAGUGAUUGUAACAGUAGCAACGGGAAAGUAAAUAAGCGAGAACCAGUAUAUGGAAAACUCGUAGGCACCGGAUCAGUGAUGGAUAAUUAUGCUGGAUGCAGUUCAUCAUGUAACAGUCAUAACAUAGGGUGACACAGAACUAGCUCCAAUUCAUCAAUGUAAUGUAGACAUGUAUUCCGUAUAUAGCCAUACGUGCUUAUGGAAAAGAACUUGCAUGACAUAUUUUGUCCCACCCUCCCGUGGCAGCGGGGUCCUAUUGGAAACUAAGGGAUAUUAAGGCCUCCUUUUAAUAGAGAACCGGAACAAAGCAUUAGCACAUAGUGAAUACAUGAACUCCUCAAACUAUGGUCAUCACCGGGAGUGGUCCCGAUUAUUGUCACUUCGGGGUUGCCGGAUCAUAACACAUAGUAGGUGACUAUAGACUUGCAAGAUAGGAUCAAGAACUCACAUAUAUUCAUGAAAACAUAAUAGGUUCAGAUCUGAAAUCAUGGCACUCGGGCCCUAGUGACAAGCAUUAAGCAUAGCAAAGCCAUAGCAACAUCAAUCUCAGAACAUAGUGGAUACUAGGGAUCAAACCCUAACAAAACUAACUCGAUUACAUGAUAAAUCUCAUCCAAACCAUCACCGUCCAGCAAGCCUACAAUGGAAUUACUCAAGCACGGCGGUGAGGAUCAUGAAAUUGGUGAUGGAGGAUGGUUGAUGAUGAUGACGGCGACGAAUCCCCCUCUCCGGAGCCCCGAACGGACUCCAGAUCAUCCCCCUAGUCUUCAUCUUUGGCGAGUAUUUUUGCUGAAACAACAUCAUGGCAAUUCUGCUGAAAACAGCGUCAGUCCGGGUUAGUUCCAUUCAAAUCAUACAAGUUAGAGUCCAAAACAAGGGCAAAAGUGUUUGGAAAAGUAGAUACGAUAGAGACGUAUCAGAGACCAGAGACCCGCACUUGGCUCAGUAGGGGGUCAACGCAGUCUAAACUAGAACUACCAUCUAGAGAAAAAUUCUCACAAACAAAGCCUUCAGAUCUGUUUUGGUGAGGGUAAAUAAAGGAAGAGCAUUCAAUGCCAUCAUUAAGAGGAGUAACAUCUACACCAAUCUUAGCAGCAAUGGCAUUGAAGGAAGGAUCAUUAAAGUUGGACAAGGAAGUGUGUUUCAUACCCUGGGGUUUUUGCACUUCCAGGUUCUGAACCUCUUUGAGCUGUUGAGCCUUUUCAAUAAUGGUUCUCUUGUCACCAGCUACCCUGGCACUGGUUCUGGUGGCUUGAACAGGACACCAUUUGGGAAGGUGCUUCUCCUUAGGAAGGGCAGGGAAGUCAGAGUUCUAUUUUGAGUCCAAAUUGUUUGGGAGUUCAGUUGUUUCAACAAGCGCCUCUUGAUCCUCUUGUAGAUCUACAGAACCUUCUAGUUCCAUCAGAUCAUCAUCUUCUAGGAGCUCCAUUUCCCUGAGGAGGUUGAAUCCAUCAGUUUCAUCAAGCAUAGAAUUCAAGAUCUUUUCCUGGAUGCUGAAUUGAGGAGUGUAUGGAGAAUCAGGGAGGCGUGUCUUGAGGACCGAAGUGGGUGUAGUUUCUCCAAGCAUCUGAUUGUGGCCAAAAGACUGUCCUCUGAUGUUAGGGGCCCCAGAAUUGCCAGCAGGCCCUUUAUCUGAUUCAGAUCUAGAGCUCCUAUUGGAUUCAGCAUCUUCAGUAAGAUUGGUACCAGUUUCAGCUGCAGAGACAUAUGUACCAGCAAAGAGGUUGGUGGAGGUGCCAGUUUCAGUGGGGGCUAAGGACUCCACCUCAAUGAGUAGCCUGUAGAUUUUGUUCCCAACUCCAAAAAGCCUUUCAGCAGGGAUUUUGGAGGGAUCUUUACAUAAGAUUUUGACCCUAACAGUUUCAUAGAAUGACUUGAAAUUAUGCUACCAAUCCACAUCCAAUAAGACCCCCAGAGUGGAAGUGAUUUGAUCCAGCAUAGUCCAGUCACACCACUUGGGGGUUCAAUUUCGUGAUCUUGAUCCAAGUUUCCUGGAGGUCCUCUUCAGCCUCAAUCCUGCCUUUCCAGACUUCAACCUUGAUUAUAACAUUGUCUUUUUUAGACCAAAACAGGGGUAUCCAGCAACUUGAACUACAUCUAUUUCAGGAGGGAAUUUGACCAAGAAUGUCCACUCAUCUAGGGCAUUGAUUGGCCAGGGCCAGUUGGUUUUGUAAAUGUCUGCAAACUCAGCCGGAAGUUCCUGCUUGGUCACUUCACCAGCUUCUACCAGAACAAUCCCCACAUUCUUCAGGGAGCCAUGAUACUGAGCAUUUUCAUCAGGUGGGUCUAUGUGGUAGAACCCUAAUCCUGGAGCAGCACUUCCAACAUAUCUAGCAGAAUUGUGGGUUUUCCUUCUGACUGGGCAAUUCUCAACUUUAUGGGUAACCAUUUUGCAGAUAAAACAACUCUUGGGCUUGACACAUUUAUCCAAAUGAUCCCCUGGUUCCCCACCGUUGUAGCAAAUCACCUCAGAGUAUGCUAUAAGGCCCGAAGCAGGGGCAUGAGCAGUUUUUUGGAUGUCCUGUCUCUGCUUUUGCUGAUUCUUGCCUUGCGAUUUCCCACUGAUCUGAGAGACAGAACCACCAACAGAUUGAUCUUGGGAAAUUACAGGAGCCUGCUCAGAUUGUUCCCCCAUUUGGGGUGGAGGUGGGUCAUAGCACUGCCCAACCGGCGCUCGCCCCCCCCCCCCCAUUGUGAUAGGGAAAUUCAUCGAAGUUGCUGGUUUCUUCUCAUCCUCCAGCCAGAUGUUGUCUCUCAGGAAGCAGAAAUAACCACCAGAUAGCUCAAUUGAAGUAGAUUGCAAGCCUAAUUUCAAUCUUCUGCAGGUUUGGAGGAGAGGUAAGGUAGGGGAUCCACCUGCUCCGACUCCGGUGGCGUGCUGAUGGGCAUGAGUCCAGUCAAGCAUUCCCAUCUCGCAGCACGGCGUGGAUCUCCUGAAUUCACUUCCCCUUUCACCCAUCGAACGAACGCAAUCGGCGGCUCCCUGGGGUGGGGCAUCCUGUGCUUCUCCGAGAAAUCUCCUUCGAAGUAGAUCCGCAUGGCUAGAUUCAGCAGCUCCCAAUCCACAUGAUCCUUGCACAUCCGAGCAUACCUGCGCGAGUGAGAGAGCGGAUUUGGUCCCUCCUUGGCUUCCUCCCUCGUAGCUUCCUCCUCUGCUUCCCUCCAUUCGCGCGUGCACUAGGUCCAGGAGAGAGCGUCGUCGCGGAUCCGCAUCGCCCGCUCCCUCCAUCUCCUCCCUCGAGUUUCCCGCGGCACCACCAGCAGGACGGAGUUGAGCGGCUGGAGCAUCUGUGGGAAGGCUUUGUAGACAUGUGGGAGAUGCAUCUUGUACAUCUGCCUGUCUUCCAGCCAUUCCCCCAUGGAUCUGGCCGACGACUCCAUGGGGCGCGCGAGUGGACUUGCUGAGGGGGGCAGGCGCGCCCGGAGUCAGGAGGCGGGGGUGGCGGCGAGAUCUAUGGCGGCGGCGAGGGUGGAGGUAGUGCCGGGGGCGGCGACGAGGGUGGAGGUGGUGGCGGGGGCGAAGGGGAUCGCGAGAGCGGUCAUCUAUUUACCAAUUAUGUGAACUAAACAGUCAACAUAUAAAAUAAUGUAAAUAUAUAUAAUAUAGUUAGAAGGGAAACAUAACUUGGACCUGGCGUUCCUAUUCUUAUAUAGAAAAAUAGAACAGACCUCUACGUUUUCUUCAAAAAAAAUUACAUAAAUUGGGCUGCCAAAAAUAAAACCUCGAAUGGGAGGUCCAUAGGCUGGCCGAUACAUGACGGCCCUAAGAAAAUACAAACAGGCCUAUGGACCUCCCAUCCGAGGUCGUGGGCUGCGCAUGUUAAAAAUGAAAGCCUAGACGGGGCAGCCCAAAACCACGUCCAACACUUGCCAAAACUUCGUCCCUCAUUUUCUCUGUGUUUCGCACACUCGACAUUGUGUGGGUAUUUUGACUGUGCAUCAUAUGAAGAUGUGAUAUGCAUGAAUGUUGAUCAGCAUGAUGUUAACUGGCUGGUAGUUCCAUUUUUGACCAUGAAUAAAACUUCCAACAUGAUGUUAACCCUGUUUGAAAAGGCCAUGUUAAUAUAAAUGCCCUGCCUCCGAAAGUUGAAGUUUCUUAUCUGAAACUAAACUUGUAGUUUCUUAUCUGAAACUGAAACUUGCAGUUUCUUCUCUGAGAAUCACAUUGUCUGCACUUUUAUACUCCUAUGAAACUACUUUUUUUAAGUGCUAAAAAAUAGAUCUCUAGAAUUCAUAAAAUACUUCAUAUGCUCAAUACUGCAAAUCUGAAAUUCAAAAGACAUUCAUAUCUGAAAGUACUCUCAAAAUACACAACACAAAACACAAUUCACAACCUGCAAAUACUGACAACCCUAAGCUCCUCCUCACAAUUCCUCGGUGGCAGACAGCCGCCCCAUGAGACAAUGUGAACGGCGAGGGAGACGAUGGCGGGGAAGCGUCGUCGGGCCAACUGCUUUUCUCCUAUUGCAGUUGGGUUCCGUCGACGAAGACUCCACCGGCU
rnacentral:lncRNA from 1 species